CGGGAUGGCGGCGCGUUCACCGAAGGGCGGAGAAGGCAAGGAGUUCUUUGCCGGAUCCGCACAAACCCUGUCAAAUCUGCUUCGUGUCUCUUCUUCAUCGAUGAAAUUAGUUCUCGCUGACCGUGUCCAUUAUCGCAUCAGGGUUUCGAACAUUUCUUGGCUUCCGUGUGAGAUCGAUGAUCUUUGGCUGUAUGGAGGAGCAGCGUGGCGACAAGCUUCCAUAGCUCACUUUCUACCUCUGUCACAUCAUUCUCCUUCCAGGUGGGCUAGAGGUGUGCACGAUGCGUUAACAUCAUCGUCAAAAGGAAUCCAUGGCUGACGGAAUAAGGGAAGUUGUUUGUUCCUCCAUGACUGAUGGUAAUGGAGAAAAACUCACUUAAAGCUUCCAUUAAUCUGAAUCUUCCUAAUAGUUCGAUAUACUGACUAGUCCUUGCUAUGCUACACUUAAUGAGUCAUAGGCAUCAGAUAAACAUGUGCUUGAAAUUCAUAUCUUGCCUACUAGAUCUCAGGAAUUCACAGAUACAAUAAAUAAAUGUAAAGUAUGGCAUUUAAAUUUCAGAUACCGUCAAUGUAGCCUUUAUAAUUAAAAAAUAUAGUAAGUAAAUGAUAAAUGAUCACUCACCGACAAUGUGAUUAAUCCUUUUAGUGCAAAUUAUAGUAGUUUCAGGUGGGAAUAUGCAUGGUUUAGCGAGCUCGGGUAUCAUUGGAUCCCUCAAACCAGGCUAUAUGAACUUUGAUCUCCUUCAACUUUCCUUGAACUGAAAGAAUUCACCUUUGAUGAAUAAAGGUCAACCUGUUGCUCAAAUACCACCUUUCAGGAUUAUUCCACCAACAAACAAGAAAGAACACAUUGCUCUAGCAGGUGAUCUAAUAAUCUAGUCAUUAAGCAUUUGUUCAUUGGUUGCAAUGUUGAAAUGACAAGGUGAUUUGGUGAUAUUUAUUUUCAUCGGUCUCAACAUGAUCGUAAAAAGGUAGGUGGUGCUCCUUGUUGAAGAUAAGACCAACAUCCACCUCAGGUAGCCCCAAAAUAUGGGCAUUGAAGUUCAUCUUAUUGAGGACAAUAUGACUGAGCUACUUGCAUUUAAAUUUCAUUAUCCAUAAUGAUCUCUCUUGGCUCCCACGUUUACAAGUGAUGUAUGUUAGUUCUAUGAACCUUCAAUAUUCGAUGACUUAUAAUGUUCGUUGUGUAAUGAUUGCCUCAUUUAGGAAAGGUCAUAAGUUUAAAAUGUGGUGGCAAGAAUCUCACCAUGACACAAGGGUCACUACUCAACACGACAUGACCUAGAGCAAUAAUGGUCAACAUUGUAGUGAUAAUGUUAUGUUCGAACAUGUAAGUAUUGGGUUUUUCAUGAUGGAUGGAAAUCAUGAUAGGGCCAGAGCUGACCCACAGAACAGGUACAAUAAUAUACCAAAUAUAGUUUUGAUAAUGGACAUUGGAGAGUGUACUCUGCACCUCUAGAUUUUUAAGAUGCUGAUGCCAUUCAUUCAGACCUUCGCCCACAUAACUUUGUAGGGGUUGGGUGAGAUUACUGAUGGCGCAUGGUCUGUGAAAUUACUUUAAUGUUUUUGCUUGCAUCAAUUUAUGACUUUGUACUGAUUGCCAGUGCAUAUAGCAUACCUGUGGAAACUUUAUUGUUGCCCUCAUCAAUUACUUUUGGGGCCUGAUAGACAGAUUUAGACCUGGAAACCCAUUAUUGUAUACUGGCAAUCAGUUACUGAUUCCCCAUGUGUGAUUCAGUUACCGAAGUAAUUACUGAACCACCAAUAGAAGUAUCUCAACAUGAUAUUUUGUUAUUGUCGCAGAGGGUUUGCCAAAUAUGCGGGAUCAGAUUUAUUCACUUAAUUGAAUUUGCUUGUAAAUC